CCUAAUAGCUAUUCCUGAACCUAUACUGUUCAGGAGAUUUGGGUCCUGAUCUAUUUAACCUAUCUGAUUUUUUAAAUUAAUUAUGCUCAUGUGCAUGCAAACAGAGUCCUGAGAUUUUUGUGUUGAGAGGAAUUACUGUUGCCAUCGUAGUAAAGUACCAGUUUGUUAAAACCCAGCUAACUAGCAUCUCUUAUUCCCCACUUUUAGGAGAAUGAAGCAAAUGGUCAUUAAUUUCAAGGGAUAUGUGGAGGCUAUUAUCCAGGAGAUUCAGCCCGAAUCUCUUAUAUUUCCAUAGUUUGUGCAUUAAACUCAAUUCAGAAUAAUAUUUCUCAGAAUAAUGAUGCCAGAAUCAGGUGUGGGAUAUAGGACCUAUAAAGUGAAUCCAAGUAACCUUAUGUAAGCAUACAUUCCAGAUAGCCAAGAUAUAUCCUAUUCCUAUGCAUCCUAAAAAAUCAGUAUUUUUUGUAGGUCAGAGCUUUUUAAAAUUCUUUUUUGAUUUGAAUUAAUGGUCUUACAACAGGUGUUACAUUGGUCUACUGAAAAUCCGCAUUCAAAUUGUGUAGUCUUUUGAAAGAUCAGGAAAUAAAUGACUCAGCUUAAAACACAGUUGUUGAAGGCCAACAUAAAUAUUACAUAGAAAUUUUACACAAUUGUGAUAGGAAUUUGUUGAAAAGCUUUAUAAUUGCCUCAGUCCACUUUUCUGUACAGUUGGAAUAAGAAUACAUUGGUGCUGGUAUUGGUGGUUAUUCUGCCAAAGAAAAUGAAUCUGAUUUAAUUGACUAUUUAUACAUGUUUAUCAAGUUCAGAAAUCUGAAAAAAAUGUGAACAUUAGCUCUUAAUCCAAUUUAUCAUGCUGUACAAAUAAGCAUACUGUUUGCAUUCACUAUACAAAAACCCUGAACACAAUAAUUUGUAUCUGUUUAGAAUCUUGAGUCAAUUCAUUCUAUAGGAGAAAAAGAAUAUUGUAUUUUCUUCUGUGAAGUCAUAGAAAACCAGGAUGACAUGAGUGGCAUUUUGUUAAUGACAAUCAUACUGUAAUGAUUUACUCUGUAUGUCUUGCUCAACUUUUGUUAGGAAACUAGAGUAGGAAUAUUUAGUCUACUUUAUAGCCUUUUACAGCAGAAGGGCCAUUUAUUUUAUUUUAUUUUAUUUUAUUUUGAGACAGAGCCUUGCUCUGUUGCCAAGGCUGGAGUGCAGUGGCAGAUCUCAGCUCAUUGCAACCUUUGUCUCCCAGGGUCAGGCGAUUCUCCUGCCUCAGCGCCAGCUAAUUUUUGUAUUUUUAGUAGAGCCAGGAUUUCGCCAUGUUGGCUAGGCUGGUCUCGAACUCCUAACCUCAGGUGAUCCACUGGCCUCGGCCUCCCAAAGUGCUGGGAUUACAGGCAUGAUCCAUCACACUAGGCCAGAAGGGCCAUUUAAAAUGCAGUUAAUUUACAUAAGGGCGCUUGAUAGUCUAAGAGAAAGGAAAACUUUUAUGAUAGAAAGCAAAUCUAAAAUGAUUUUAAAAAAUACAGCCUAUGUCCUCAACUGUAAUUUGACCAUGACUGAUUAUCUAACAUUUUUUGAGUGGAAUUCACUAGUGCAAUGCUUUAUUUUAACCCCUGUGAACUGAUACAUGUUUGUAUCCAUAAGACAUUUUGGGAUACUUUGGAGAAUACAAGAAGAAAGUGUUUUUAAACUGUUAUAUUUUAAAUAUAUGUCAUGUAUAUUCUGAUCUAUUACUAUAUAUUAAUUUUAUCUUAUUUCAAAAUCAGUUUAAGAUCCAGAUUUCACAUUAGACACUGAUACUUUUUUUUUUUUUUUGAGAUGGAGUCUGUCACCCAGGUUGGAGUGCAGUGGUGUGAUCUUGGCUCACUGCAACCUCUGCCUCCCGGGUUCAAGUGAUUCUCCUGCUUCAGCCUCCCUAGUAACUGAGACUACAUUUGUGUGCCACUGUGCACUGCUAAUUUUUGUAUUUUUAAUAGAGAUGGAGUUUCACCAUGUUGGCCAGGCUGAUCUCAAACUCCUGACCUCAGGUGAUCCUUCCACCUCGCCCUCCCAAAGUAGGUGGCUCACACCUAUAAUCACAGCACUUUGGGAGGCCAAGGCAGAUGGAUCACUUAAGGUCAGGAGUUCAAGACCAGCCUGGCCAACAUGGUGAAGCCCCGUCUCUACUAAAAAUACAAAAAUUAGCAGGGCAUGGUGAUAUGUGCCUGUAAUCCCAGCUACUAGGGAGGCAGAAGCAGGAGAAUCACUUAAACUCAGGAAGUGGAGGUUGCAGUGAGCGGAGAUCAUGCCACUGGACUCCAGUCUGGGCAACAGAGUGAGACUCCAU
rnacentral:lncRNA from 1 species